CUCGGGUGGAUUUCACUCGGGCAGAACUGAGGUAGCCUUCAGAAAGUGGCCUUAAAAUUUUGUGGGCCUUCCCUUCAGAGAAACAACUUCCAGCCUAAAGGACCAAAUCAGACCGGAAAAACAAAUAAACAAAAAAAGCCCUUGAGCUUCCGGCGGCAGUGGCGUAACCAGGACUCACCACCCUCCCGCCCGCUUGCGGCCUUCUAACUGCGCUGGAGACCGUGUCCUGGACCUUGACCGAGACAGCAACCUCACCACCUCCAAGCUACAUUUCCAAUCCCAAAUAAAACUUGCCACAGCUUUA